AGACUCACCUGGAGACCAGAGUUAGAUCCAAGUCUUCCUAACUGAGAGGUCAUCUCCCUCUCCCCCACACCACACAGAGUCUUGCCUAAAAGAAAACCAAGAGCUCUUCAUGAACACUGGGUGCUCAUUAGACACAGAGGCUUCAUUAAUGAGGAUUACUGUCAGAAACCAUCACCAAGAAGCAUCCUGUCCAGCAAGAGCCUACAUUCGUUGGACUCCCCAAAGUCUUCGAACAACAGUGCCUGUGCUACAAAUACCCACGUCUGGGUCCAGUCUUCCUUCCUUACAGAGGCACGGUGACCUAGUGUCUACAGGGCUGGAUUUGAAGUCACCUAGUGUAGUCAAAUCCCACUCUAUGUGACCGUGGGCAAGUCAUCCAACUUCUCUGAGACUACGUUUAUUCUUUUAUUUGUCAAAUAUGAGCAUUCAUGUCUCAUGG